CUGCGGGUUGAGGUGGGUAUUCAGAUGCCAGCCUGCAGCCCACUUACAUUGUUUCUUUUGGACUGACACCUUGCCGGAUGCUCAGAUGCCCACAGCGCAGGGGAAGGGACAGCCUAGAGUCCGAGGCGUGGGCAGGGAGCUGGCCCCCGUCCAUUGCUGCAGCUCCGCAGCAGCAGGACAGCCCUGGGAGGUGGAGGUGAGUCACCAGGACCUGGGAGAGGAAACGGCGCUCGCUAAAUUUAAACCCCCUUCCUGAUGUAUUUGUGAGGUUGUUCUGUUACUUUCCUGGGGAAAUGCACCAAACAGAGAAAAUGGCAGGGACACAGAGAAGAACGUUAUCGAGUUAGGUGGUAAUUAUUAAUCCUGUGAUUUUCAGACGGACUCCGUUCAUUUGGAUAAGCAGAGGAAAUUUGGCAGAAACGACCAAAUGCAAACUACGUGUAGCAGCCUGAGACCGGCCGUCUACUGAAACAAAGGAUGCAGUUCAGUCGGAAACCACGCUUAGCAGUGUAGCUGUCUUUAGCCAUCCAGGCCCUGAGAACCAAUGAACAACCCAGCUUGGCCGCUUAGAACAUUUUUUCUGUACUUGAGUUAAAUAGAUAUCCAAGAACCAUUACUCAUUUUUAAUGUGGAGAAGUCGGUAUUCUAUUCUCGUGUUCUAUGUUUUUUAAAGCGGCAAUUUGAAUUAUUUCGUGCGAUAGAAAACCUUAAACACAAAGUAACGUUUCUAACAAAAGGGCUGUCGAUCAAGUGACAAACACGUCCUACUUUUAGAUACGAGCACGACUGAGGCAACGGCAUGAAAACGCCUAAAGUGGGCUGCUGGGGAGACAAGAUCUGGCCGCGAAUGGAACUCGCGGCAGCUCAUUAACGGGACCGUCCAGCAGGAAGCCACCCUGGGAUGCUGCCACAGCUGAGCCUGGAGGUGACCGUGACCCUGGCUGACGUCGGACUGCAGCUUUGUAAGGGAGACUGAGCCGGGACCCAGACCUACAAAAGCUGAGAUGAUAAACACUGUUUUAAGCUGCUGUGUGUCGCAGUGACUCGUGUGGCAGUGGAUUUCUAGCAGAGCCGUCGUUCCUGUCUGGCUUCUGUCAGCUCAACACUCUGUAGGGCCACCCAUGCUGUCGUGCAUGCCAGCGGUGGACUUUUCAUUGCUGAGUAAUAUUUCAUUCCAUUGCAUGCUCGCACCUCGGUUUGUUGAACUGUCUACCUGUUGAUGGGCUCUGGGACAUAGGCAGUUCUGGGCUAUUAUGAGUAAAGCUGCU
rnacentral:lncRNA from 1 species